rnacentral:rRNA from 1 species
AUACGGAGGGUCCAAGCGUUAUCCGGAUUUAUUGGGUUUAAAGGGUGCGCAGGCGGAACUUUAAGUCAGUGGUGAAAUCUUGCCGCUUAACGGUAAAAUUGCCAUUGAUACUGAAGUUCUUGAAUGUAGUUGAGGUAGGCGGAAUGUGUUGUGUAGCGGUGAAAUGCAUAGAUAUGACACAGAACGCCAAUUGCGAAGGCAGCUUACUAAGCUACGAUUGACGCUGAGGCACGAAAGCGUGGGGAGCGAACAGGAUUAGAUACCCUGGUAGUCCACGCCGUAAACGAUGAUCACUCGCUGUUUGCGAUACACAGUAAGCGGCUGAGCGAAAGCAUUAAGUGAUCCACCUGGGGAGUACGAUCGCAAGGUUGAA